GCAUUGCUGAUGAGUCCCACAUUAGGACGAAACCGUCGUCCAGUGC
rnacentral:hammerhead_ribozyme from 1 species